AAGCUGGCUCUAAGGUGGCCUUGCCUGAUCAGGACUCUUCAGUUCAGCUUCUCAGAAUGAGGCUCCCUCUUCAGCCCCUGGGGCUGCUAUUGCUCUGGAUCACUGGAUCCACAGCAGAUGUUUUGAUGACCCAGUCCCCACUCUCUCUAAUCAUUGCCCCUGGAGAGCCAGCCUCCAUGUCCUGCAGGUCCAGUCAGAGCCUCCUGCAUAGUGAUGGAAAAAUCUAUUUGAGUUGGAUGGUGCAUAAGCCAGAACAGGCUCCACAAGGAAUAAUAUAUCAGGUCUCCAAACGUGAAUCUUGGACCCCAGAGAGGUUCAGUGGCAGUGGGACAGGGACAGAUUUCACAUUCAACAUCAGCACGGUGGAGGCUGAGGACACUGGAGUUUAUUACUGUCAGCAAGGCAUACAUACUCGUCCCACAGUGCUACAGCCCCAAACACAAACCUCCUUGCCUGGGGAGGCCCAGCUGCCCUCCUGCACUGCUGUCUGGGGAGCAGCACAGCACAGCCUGCUCUGUGUGACAGAAAGAGGCUGAAUAAUCAGAACAACAAGUUGCAGCUGAGGCCUCUGCCCGGAAGAGUGAGGAAAAGAGC